UACAGAGGAGCCAAGCGUUGUCCGGAUUGACUGGGCGUAAAGCGCACGCAGGCGGUUGCGCGCGUGGGGUGUGAAAUCUGGCCGCUUAACGGCCAGGCGCCAUCCCAUACGGCGCGACUGGAGCGAUGCAGAGGUCGGUGGAAUUGCCGGUGUAGUGGUGAAAUGCGUAGAGAUCGGCCAGGAACACCCCAGGGGGGAAACCCAGCCG
rnacentral:rRNA from 1 species